CCAUGGCAUGUCAUUGAUUUUAAAAUUCACCCUGAUUCCAGAAAUGUUAUAACAGGAAUCUUAGGAUCAAUGAAAUCCAAUAACUAAUUCUCAGUUGCCUUCCUUGCUUUACAGAUGGGUUAACUGAGGAACAGAGAGGUUGAGUCAACUUGCUCCAAUGUCACAUAGCAAGUAUAUGGUGGAAAUGAGAUUUCCAGAGUCAGGUUCAUAACCCCUGUGAUAUAUUGCAUCUGCGGAAGUAAUAUCUGUCCAUGGGCCGAUAGAGGGAAGGACACAAAAAGAGAGGGGAAAAAGAGGACCCUGCCCUCUACUCCUUCCUCAUCACUGCCCGGGUCAGUGCUGAUGUCUCCUUUAAAAACUUCUUCUAGAUCUUGCUCCUCCUCUCAUUCUCCACAGCUAGCAUCCUGGCUUUGUCCUUCCUCACCUCUCUCUUGCUCCUGCUUGGACUAUUGCAGUAGCCUGUAAGCUGCCAUCCUCCUCCAACUCCUCCCACCCCCAACACAAACUGAGUCAGUGUCAUCUUCCAAAAAUGUGAAUCUGUUCUUGUCACUCUAUUCCAAAACGUCUAAGGGAUCCAGAUCCUGGUUUGCAUUUGUUCAUUCACUCUUCUGUUUCAUCACCUACUCUGUUGGGCUCAGAGGAUAUAAAGGUGAGCAAACCCCAGUAUGGUCCACGGCCUUGGAGAAGCAAGAUCUCUCAGUGGUCAGAUAUGACCCAGUGUGAAAAUGUGCUGGGCCCAUGGGAGGCACAUCUACUCUGGGUCUCAGGGACCAGUUGGUGGAGGAUGAGUGGGAGUUCACCAGGCAAAGGAUGGCAAGGAUUCCCAGGGAGAGAGAACAGCAUGUGCAAAGGCCCAGAGGUGAGAGAGAGGUUGUAGCAGAGUGUCAGAUGGGCUAUGUUCCAGAUUAAUCUAGAAAGACAGGUUUUUGAGGUGGACAGCUGGGCAAGGCUGGCCUCCCCUUUCUUUUUUGGCCUCUACUCCCUUUUCUUCCUUUCCCCACAAUAUCCCUCUGCAGGGAUAAAUGCCUAUUUAUUUCCCAAACAGACAUCUCCCUCUUCACACAUCCUCCACAGGCAGCAACCCUCAGCUCAGCAAACUCAUCCUUCUAGACCUUUCCCAGUGAAAAUACUUCUGACCUUUCACUUAGCUCUCUGAGCUCAGAGUUCUGAGCCAGGCAGGAGAAGCCUGGGGAGUUGGUCUUGGGUUCGACUGGCAGGGGGGUGAGGGUGGGGGGUUGGAGCAUUUUUACAGCAUUCAGUUGAGUAAAAGCUGAAGUUCUUAUAAAGGCCUACAAAACCCUGCACAGUCUAAACCAGUGCUUCCCUCUGACCUCAUCUUCCACUGCUCUCCCCUUGGCCAACUGCUUCAGCAACACUGGUCUCUCUGCUGUUCUUUCAGUAGGCCCCCCACCCCCACAUUCCUACCACAGGUCCUUUGCACUUGCUGUUCUGGUAUACCUUUCUUAUCUUCACCUUCAUCUGAUUUUGCUAGAAUAUCAUCACCUUCUCAGAGAAGUCCCCCAGGACCCCUUAUGUAAAACUGCAACCUCUAUUUCACACUCUUCCUUGCUUCUUCUUCUCCCUAGAACUCACCAUCUUCAAGAGCUUGUGUGAUUCACUUAUUUAUUUGUUUACUGUCUGUCUUUCCCCACAAGACUGUGGAUUCCAGGAGGGUCAAGGAUUUGGGUCUGUCUGGUUCACUCCAUAUCCCCAGCACCCAGCACCCUGUCUGGCAUACAGUAGGUGCUCAAUUAAUGUCUGACGGUUGAAUGAGUAAAUUCUGAGCUCUGUGUGACAGGCAGGCUCUGCCCCAGGUGCCAUGGAGGACAGCGGCCGGAAGGAACAAGGUCUCUGCCCUUGCGAGGACGCUGGCCGAGCUGGUUCUGGCGGGCAGUGGGACAGGUCCCUGACAGCCAGCCCUGUGAUGCUGGCAGCACGGGCACCAUCCUGCCCAUUUCACGGAUGACAAAACCCAGGUCCAAAGAGGGGAAGUGACUUGCCCAAGGCCUCAGUGAUGGUUUUCUGUUGAUUAGGAAUUUGAGAAGGAAUGAGCUGGAUGAUUCUCACACGGGGUCUCUCAUGAGGCUGCAGUCAGAUGCUGGGGCUGCUGUCAUCUGAAGACUCAACUGGGAUGGGAGGAUCUACUGCUAAGGUUACUCACUCAGGUAACUGGCAAGGUGGUGCUGGAUGAAGGCUAGCAGCUUCAGUUCCUCUCUACAUGGACCUUUGUAAGGAGCUGCAUGUGUGUCCUCCUGACAAGGAGGCUGACUUUUCAAUGUGAGUUUAUCUAAGAAGCCUAGAUGGAAGCUACAAUGCCUUUUAUAACCUAGCCUUGGAAGUCACACACCUUCAUUUCCACUAGAUUCUACUGGUCGUAGCAACUAUGUAGAUUUGUAUUCAAGGGGAGGGAGUAGACCCUGCCCUUCAGUAGAGGAGUGCUAACAUCACAUUGUAAAAAGAGCAUGAAAAAAAAAUAAAAAUAAAUAAAAAUAA